rnacentral:piRNA from 1 species
UAUUAUUUCUCGUACUCAAAA